GUAAUCAAAAGUUUAUUAAUUGUAAACCUGCAUGAAGGAUGUAAUUUAUACUUACUCUCAUUAAUUCAAAUUUGAAUUUAAAGAAAAAUAAAAAAUAUUUUCUGUGGAGGCAGACGAGAAGACCCUAAAAGCUAGUUGGAAUCAAUUUUUUGGGGAAAAUAUUAUUUAGAAUCUAAUAUAAUAAUUAUUAAAAAACUUAGAAAUAAGCUACUUUAGGGAUAACAGAGUAAUUUUUUUAAAAAGAACUUAUUGAAUUAAAAGAUUACGACCUCGAUGUUGGAUUCCUGUCUCUCCUUACCGCAGUAGGUUUGUAAGAAUAGACUGUUCGUUUUUUAAAUCAGG
rnacentral:rRNA from 1 species